rnacentral:lncRNA from 1 species
CCAUGGAGCUGCGUUCUCCAUGGUGACCCUGGAAGACCGCAGAAGACCCUGGGGAAGAUGGAGCUGGCGUGAGUCCAGAGGUCCUGGUGUUUCACAGCUGUGUGCUGCGGUUUCCACCACCGGAUCCCGUUCAUCACCCAGCUGCAGUGAAUGAGCGACUUGGGUUGUGGAAUGCUGUGGAUGACAACAGUAGGUGUAACAGACAUGACAGGAAGGAGGAGAUCAAAAUCAAAGCGGCAGUGGGCAGCAAUGGGCAACAAAUGCCCUGACAUUGAUUUUAAAGAAAACUCUCAGAAUAGAGGAAUUAUCAAAAUAAACAGUCUCGUGGUGGCCUCUUUUAUGUAAUGUCUUGUGUUUUCUAU